rnacentral:tRNA from 1 species
CGCGGAUCGGCCUACACAUGAGGACCAUCAUGGAUGAUA